rnacentral:rRNA from 1 species
CCUACGGGCGGCUGCAGUGGGGAAUAUUGCACAAUGGGCGCAAGCCUGAUGCAGCCAUGCCGCGUGUGUGAAGAAGGCCUUCGGGUUGUAAAGCACUUUCAGCGGGGAGGAAGGCGUUAAGGUUAAUAACCUUGGCGAUUGACGUUACCCGCAGAAGAAGCACCGGCUAACUCCGUGCCAGCAGCCGCGGUAAUACGGAGGGUGCAAGCGUUAAUCGGAAUUACUGGGCGUAAGGCGCACGCAGGCGGUCUGUCAAGUCGGAUGUGAAAUCCCCGGGCUCAACCUGGGAACUGCAUUCGAAACUGGCAGGCUAGAGUCUUGUAGAGGGGGGUAGAAUUCCAGGUGUAGCGGUGAAAUGCGUAGAGAUCUGGAGGAAUACCGGUGGCGAAGGCGGCCCCCUGGACAAAGACCGACGCUCAGGUGCGAAAGCGUGGGGAGCAAACAGGAUUAGAUACCCUUGUAGUC